rnacentral:rRNA from 1 species
UACGGAGGAUGCGAGCGUUAUCCGGAUUUAUUGGGUUUAAAGGGUGCGCAGGCGGCACGGCAAGCCGGCGGUCAAAUCGCGGGGCUCAACCCCGCCAAGCCGUCGGAACUGCCGGGCUAGAGUGGGCGAGAAGUGCGCGGAAUGCGUGGUGUAGCGGUGAAAUGCAUAGAUAUCACGCAGAACUCCGAUUGCGAAGGCAGCGCACCGGCGCCCUACUGACGCUCAGGCACGAAAGCGUGGGUAUCGAACAGG